AGUAUACAAAUGUAAGUACUGUGUGCCCACAGUUUAGUUGACAUGCUGAUGUAUAGUCCCCCCUUCCCCCCCAGAGGAGGUCUGACAUGCGUGCACGAAUCACUACAAGUGCUAGUGUAUUUUGGCCUGGACGUUAUUACAUGACAUCAAUGCACUGAACUUGUAGUGAUUCAUGCACGCAUGUCGGACCUCCCCCCUAGCAAGAACCAUGUAGUUGUGUGUACAUGGGUAUAUGUUACAAUUGAUGUGGAUUCCCUUACAGAAAUGUAUAAGUGCAGCAAGUAUGCUGCACACAUGCAACAAUGAGUGCUGCACGUGUGCAAUGGAUAUUUAUGUGCAGGACAAGCGUGUCAUGAGAACCGAGCUUUACGGCUAUCGUACAUAUAUGCCACACGCAUGUAGCCUGCACACGUGUCUGUUGCACGCCUUCCACACGCAUCUAGUUGGUAUAUGAGCAAACUGCAUGCAAGCCACACACGUGUGCUUGCACGCAUGCCAACUGCACUCGUUCCACACACAUCCAGUUGGUAUGCGAGCGAACCGCAUACAAGCCACACACGUGUACUUGCACGCAUGCCAACUGCACUCGUUUCACACACAUCCAGUUGGUAUGCGAGCGAACUGCAUACAAGCCACACACGUGUACUUGCACGCAUGCCAACUGCACUCGUUCCACACACUGUAUUACUAGCAGCUGUCAAAAGUUUACUUCAAAUCUUUGUCAAAUUCUAGUCUAGUUAAUAAGGACUUAUAGCUCUUUUUUAAAGUUGGCUGAAGACUGAAGAAAAUGCUAAUGUGUCUUACCAACCAGUGACAAGCAAUGCUACAGGCAACAAGUUCAAAGGAGAAAAUCCCAGAGAAAACUGUUUUAGAGAUUGGUAAAAAGAACAUUUUCAAGCUGCAAGCAAAGCUAAAAGAAAACGCCUAUAUACUUCUUAUGCAACAGAGGUUGGAGAACUAGGAAAAGAACAAAUAUAUAUAGCACAAGUCCUGUAUAUAAUGUGAUCUACUGUAUGCUGCAGUUUUAUAUCGGAUAGACGAUAUCUUGA